AUGCAGCUCAUCGCACCGCUGUUGAUAUUAUGGAUGCAGUUGCUACAAAUGAAUGGGCAACAGGUAAAGCAAUUUCCUCAAUUCCAGCACAUCUGGGAAGGAGAGAACUUCACCACAUACUGCAAUUCCUCGGGCAUCUUAGUCAACUUACAGUGGUAUAAGCAGAAGCCUGGAGGCCGUCCUGUCCUCCUGAUGAUCUUAACGAAGGGCGGAGAAGGGAAGAAACAGGAAAGGCUGACAGCUCGAUAUGGAGAAAAAAGGAAGGACAGCUCCCUGCACAUCACAGCCACCCAGACAACCGAUGCAGGGACCUAUUUCUGCGCCGUGGCACAGUGCUCCCCAGGCACCUGCUGCUGA